rnacentral:lncRNA from 10 species
GAGCUGGCAGCGCCACAGGGAUAAAUAAGGCCAACAACCGCACCUUACAUGGCCAUCCCAGCAGCCGCCCGGAAUCCCGAGGAUUACGCAGACUUCUGGAGGACUUGGAACAAGUGCACAUCACCUGCUGCCACCACAAGUGUUGCCCGGGCUUCUGCAGCCUCUGUCCUGUGACUGAGGAAUUUUUAAAUGGAAGCUCUGAGCUCACAAAGAAGAAAAUGUCUCCCUGAUGUCACACAGUUGCUGCCAAUUCAUCAGCUCCAGCUAAAGGUCAGCGAGGGGGAAGCCACUGCCGGAGGGUCUGGCUGCCCCUCCCUGAGAUGGGGCUUCCCUCCUGCAGGCUUGCUGCCAGCCAUCCAGGCCAGCCACAGAAGCUGAGGGCUGCUUGCAUUUCCAGGGCACACACAGAGCAGUACGAACACCGCUUAGCUGCUUCUGCCCUCCUCUGUGCAGAUAUUAACAGAUUCAACCUCCCAGCCCUAUCCUCCCCAGCUCUCCCUUCUGUAGACAGUCAGAGCAAACCCUGGAGUCUUGAUCUAACGUGUCCUGAGGGUCCUUCCCUGGGAUCACUUCAGGAGUAACACUAAAUCACAGAGAGGUUGUCUUGGGUUUUUAAUGACGAAAUGCAGUGGUCAAAAGCUAGGAAUCCCACUGCCUGGGGUCACAGCCUGGUUCUGCCACUUCCUAGUAGUGUGAUAUUUGCAAGUUAAGCCUCUCUGAGCCUGCUUCCUGACCUGAAAAAUGAGGACAAUAAGAAUAUUAUCUCACAUAGUGUGGUCCUGAGGACCCAUUGUGAAGCACUGGUAUAGAUCCUGGCAGGUAGUAAGUGCUCAAUAAAUGUCAGCUUGGAAUCAGACAAGACAAAAAAAUAGAAUAAAAUAAAAGGAAUCAACAUGCAACUACUGCUGGGCAAGUCACUUAAUCCCUGAGUCUUAAUUUUCUCAUCUGUCCAACAGGGAUAGGCAUAUGUGACAGACAGUCACUGAGAGGACUCAAUGAGAAUGAAUACAAGGCCAUCAACACAGCACCUAGCAAUGGAAAAAUACAUGGUGGCUGCUGGGACUAUUAUCUCUAUCUAUCAAAACUUGAUCUGGGCCAGGCGCGGUGGCUCAUGCCUGUA